ACUAAAUUUGUUCCCAUGAAUGUGUGGGAUGUGCCAAUUAAUUGCAUCAUGCAAUAACGGUUAAUGGAGAAAUGGUGAGGCCUGAUUGGUUGAACGGAUACUAGAUACAAGAGAAAUUAAAAAGUGAGGUUAUUGUCAUUGUUUGAUAAAAAAAAAAAUACUUAUAUAACGUUUAAGUGAUGAUAUAAUAUUGAUAUAUUAAUAUGAUAAAUAAUGUGAG
rnacentral:lncRNA from 1 species